rnacentral:rRNA from 1 species
UACGGAGGAUGCGAGCGUUAUCCGGAUUUAUUGGGUUUACAGGGUGCGCAGGCGGCGAGUUAAGUCAGCGGUAAAAUUUCGGGGCUCAACCCCGACAAGCCGUUGAAACUGGGUGCCUUGAGUGGGCGAGAAGUACGCGGAAUGCGUGGUGUAGCGGUGAAAUGCAUAGAUAUCACGCAGAACUCCGAUUGCGAAGGCAGCGUACCGGCGCCCAACUGACGCUGAAGCACGAAGGCGUGGGUAUCGAACAGG